GACGAACGCUGGCGGCGUGCUUAACACAUGCAAGUCGAGCGGUAAGGCCCUUUCGGGGGGUACACGAGCGGCGAACGGGUGAGUAACACGUGGGUGACCUGCCCUCAGCUCUGGGAUAAGCCUGGGAAACUGGGUCUAAUACUGGAUAUGACUCCACGGUGCAUGUCGUGGGGUAGGAAAGCCUUGUGCGGCUGAGGAUGGGCCCGCGGCCUAUCAGCUUGGUUGGUGGGGNGAUGGCCUACCAAGGCGACGACGGGUAGCCGGCCUGAGAGGGCGACCGGCCACACUGGGACUGAGACACGGCCCAGA
rnacentral:rRNA from 1 species